rnacentral:rRNA from 1 species
UCUGAACUCAGAUCAUGUGGUCUGACUGUGCUAAGGUAGCAUAAUCACUCGUCUUUUCAUUGAAGUCUGGAAUAAACGGCUAGACGAAGGAAUUAUAUUUUUAAGAUAAUUAAAAUAAUUUUUUAAAAAAGUUAAAAAACUUUAAUUUCCUAGGGGGACGACAAGACCCUAAAAUCUGUCUUAUAUUAAAACUUAGAAAUAUUACUGCCAUAAGACUUACUGGGGCGGUAAAUUUUACAAACAACCUAAAUACAUGCGCCGUUAGCGAAUUAAUUUGACCUUCAAGUACAAAUAAAAAGAUACUUUAGGGAUAACAGCAUAAUUUUUCUAUAGAGUUCCUAUCGCUAGAAAAGAUUAUGACCUCGAUGUUGAAUUAAGGAAACUCGUAUAAGCAG